UUAAAGGUAAUGAUAAGGAGAAGUAAAUCUGCAACACUUACAGAGAGGGGCCUUUAUUAGCUGAGAGAGGUUCUAAGUUCCUUGUAGAUUGAAAUGCACCUUUGAACCGUUUCCUGAAAAAGAAGUAGGGAGAACCGGCAGUUGCCGUUAUCGCAUUUAAAGUUGGGGUAUUUUUACCCAAACAGAGUGGAACCGCGGAUAAAGACCGUCUCUGUA
rnacentral:ncRNA from 1 species